rnacentral:rRNA from 1 species
AUUGAACGCUGGCGGCAGGCUUAACACAUGCAAGUCGAGCGGAGAGAGGUAGCUUGCUACUGAUCUUAGCGGCGGACGGGUGAGUAAUGCUUAGGAAUCUGCCUAUUAGUGGGGGACAACAUUUCGAAAGGAAUGCUAAUACCGCAUACGUCUUACGGGAGAAAGCAGGGGAUCUUCGGACCUUGCGCUAAUAGAUGAGCCUAAGUCGGAUUAGCUAGUUGGUGGGGUAAAGGCCUACCAAGGCGACGAUCUGUAGCGGGUCUGAGAGGAUGAUCCGCCACACUGGGACUGAGACACGGCCCAGACUCCUACGGGAGGCAGCAGUGGGGAAUAUUGGACAAUGGGCGCAAGCCUGAUCCAGCCAUGCCGCGUGUGUGAAGAAGGCCUUAUGGUUGUAAAGCACUUUAAGCGAGGAGGAGGCUACUUUAGAUAAUACCUAGAGAUAGUGGACGUUACUCGCAGAAUAAGCACCGGCUAACUCUGUGCCAGCAGCCGCGGUAA